UGCGUAGGCGGAAAAUUAAGUCAGUGGUGAAAUCCUGCAGCUCAACUGUAGAACUGUCAUUGAUACUGAUUUUCUUGAAUUCAGUUGAGGUAGGCGGAAUGUAUAAUGUAGCGGUGAAAUGCUUAGAUAUUAUACAGAACACCGAUUGCGAAGGCAGCUUACUAAACUGAUAUUGACGCUGAGGCACGAAAGCGUGGGGAGCGAACAGGAUUAGAUACCCUGGUAGUCC
rnacentral:rRNA from 1 species